UACAGGGGGUGCAAACGUUGCUCGGAAUCAUUGGGCGUAAAGCGCACGUAGGCGGUUCGUUAUGUCGGAUGUGAAAGCCCUUGGCUUAACCGAGGAAGUGCAUCCGAAACUGGCGAGCUAGAGUACUAAAGAGGAUCGCGGAAUUCCCGGUGUAGAGGUGAAAUUCGUAGAUAUCGGGAGGAACACCGGUGGCGAAGGCGGCUCGCUGGACCGCAACUGACGCUGAGGAACGAAAGCUAGGGGAGCAAACAGG
rnacentral:rRNA from 1 species